rnacentral:rRNA from 1 species
AUCUGCCUAACAAUGGGGGAUAGCCCGGUGAAAACCGGAUUAAUACCGCAUACGUCCUAAGGGAGAAAGGGUGCCUCUUCUUGAAAGCAUUCGUUGUUAGAUGAACCUGCGUCGGUUUAGCUAGUUGGUAGGGUAAAGGCCUACCAAGGCGACGAUCCGUAGCUGGUCUGAGAGGAUGACCAGCCACACUGGAACUGAGACACGGUCCAGACUCCUACGGGAGGCAGCAGUGGGGAAUAUUGCGCAGUGGACGAAAGUCUGACGCAGCAAUACCGCGUGUGUGAAGAAGGCCUGAGGGUUGUAAAGCACUCUCAGUGGGGAGGAAAGGAUGUAAGUUAAUAGCUUGCAUCUGUGACGUUACCCACAGAAGAAGCACCGGCUAACUCCGUGCCAGCAGCCGCGGUAAUACGGAGGGUGCAAGCGUUAAUCGGAAUUACUGGGCGUAAAGCGCGCGUAGGUGGAUAAUUAAGUCAGAUGUGAAAGCCCAGGGCUCAACCUUGGAACUGCAUAUGAUACUGGUUAUCUUGAGUACAGUAGAGGGAGGUGGAAUUUCAGGUGUAGCGGUGAAAUGCGUAGAUAUCUGAAGGAACAUCAGUGGCGAAGGCGACCUCCUGGACUGAUACUGACACUGAGGUGCGAAAGCGUGGGGAGCAAACAG